rnacentral:tRNA from 1 species
GCUGAUGUGGCUCAGUUGGUAGAGCAGUUGAUUCGUAAUCAACAGGUCACGGGUUCAAGUCCCGUCAUCAGCUCCA